rnacentral:rRNA from 1 species
GCCACAUUUAAUUGUGAUCUAACCCAUUGCGAGUCAUUGUAGUAAUACAAGGCAGACGUGCUCGGUAACGCGCCCCUUUUCUAUCCUAUGGACGGGAAUAACCUCGGUAGACUGACCCUUUUGCCCGAUAGAACAUUAUGCCUGGAGUGGUUUAUGUUCCUAAUGAUUUAUCGCCGUAUGAUGGGACUGCCGCCUAUCAGUUUGUUGGUGAGGUAAUGGCCCACCAAGAUUAUUACAGGUACGGGCUCUGAGAGGAGUGUGCCGGAGAUGUGUACUGAGACACGGACCCAGGCCCUAUGGGGCGCAGCGCGCGAGAAGACUUUGCCAUGUGCGAGAGCACGUAGAGGCUACUCUGAGCGCUUUCUGCUCUACAAUCUUGUCGCGGUCCUAGAUUCACCCAUAAUGAUGUAUGUGGGAGUUCUGUUGUCGGCUCCGAGUUAAAACCUUACCGCUCCUGCGGUCACGAUGAAUAUUGGACGAAGAGCUCCGUAGUCGGGGGUGCUAGGUCUGAUAUAAAUCUGUUCGCUCAUUGAUCUUGCUGGCCGGGAUUCUGGAAAGCUAGAGU